UACGUAGGGGGCUAGCGUUGUCCGGAAUCAUUGGGCGUAAAGGGUGCGUAGGCGGCGCGGUAAGUCGGGUGUGAAAUCUCGGAGCUUAACUCCGAAACUGCAUUCGAUACUGGCGUGCUUGAGGACUGGAGAGGAGACUGGAAUUCAUGGUGUAGCAGUGAAAUGCGUAGAGAUCAUGAGGAAGACCAGUGGCGAAGGCGGGUCUCUGGACAGUUCCUGACACUGAGACACGAAGGCCAGGGGGAGCAAAACGGG
rnacentral:rRNA from 1 species